rnacentral:rRNA from 1 species
GGAAUCAUCGAAUCUAUCGAACGCACAUAUGCGCCACGCUGGUAUUCCGGAGGGCAUGCCUGUUUGAGCGUCGUU